GCCAGAGUGGCUUAGCGGUUUGAGUGUUGGACUAUGACUCUGGAGAUCAGGGUUCAAAUUCCUGCUUAGCA